rnacentral:rRNA from 1 species
UACGGAGGGUGCAAGCGUUAAUCGGAAUUACUGGGCGUAAAGAGUGCGUAGGUGGUUGAUUAAGUUAUCUGUGAAAUUCCUGGGCUCAACCUGGGACGGUCAGAUAAUACUGGUUAACUCGAGUAUGGGAGAGGGUAGUGGAAUUUCCGGUGUAGCGGUGAAAUGCGUAGAGAUCGGAAGGAACACCAGUGGCGAAGGCGGCUACCUGGCCUAAUACUGACACUGAGGCACGAAAGCAUGGGGAGCGAACAGG